UGUGUGUUAGUGGAAGCGUCUGGAAAGGCGCGCGAUACAGGGUGACAGCCCCGUACACAAAAAUGCACAUGCUGUGAGCUCGAUGAGUAGGGCGGGACACGUGGUAUCCUGUCUGAAUAUGGGGGGACCAUCCUCCAAGGCUAAAUACUCCUGACUGACCGAUAGUGAACCAGUACCGUGAGGGAAAGGCGAAAAGAACCCCGGCGAGGGGAGUGAAAAAGAACCUGAAACCGUGUACGUACAAGCAGUGGGAGCACGCUUAGGCGUGUGACUGCGUACCUUUUGUAUAAUGGGUCAGCGACUUAUAUUCUGUAGCAAGGUUAACCGAAUAGGGGAGCCGAAGGGAAACCGAGUCUUAACUGGGCGUUAAGUUGCAGGGUAUAGACCCGAAACCCGGUGAUCUAGCCAUGGGCAGGUUGAAGGUUGGGUAACACUAACUGGAGGACCGAACCGACUAAUGUUGAAAAAUUAGCGGAUGACUUGUGGCUGGGGGUGAAAGGCCAAUCAAACCGGGAGAUAGCUGGUUCUCCCCGAAAGCUAUUUAGGUAGCGCCUCGUGAAUUCAUCUCCGGGGGUAGAGCACUGUUUCGGCAAGGGGGUCAUCCCGACUUACCAACCCGAUGCAAACUGCGAAUACCGGAGAAUGUUAUCACGGGAGACACACGGCGGGUGCUAACGUCCGUCGUGAAGAGGGAAACAACCCAGACCGCCAGCUAAGGUCCCAAAGUCAUGGUUAAGUGGGAAACGAUGUGGGAAGGCCCAGACAGCCAGGAUGUUGGCUUAGAAGCAGCCAUCAUUUAAAGAAAGCGUAAUAGCUCACUGGUCGAGUCGGCCUGCGCGGAAGAUGUAACGGGGCUAAACCAUGCACCGAAGCUGCGGCAGCGACGCUUAUGCGUUGUUGGGUAGGGGAGCGUUCUGUAAGCCUGUGAAGGUGUGCUGUGAGGCAUGCUGGAGGUAUCAGAAGUGCGAAUGCUGACAUAAGUAACGAUAAAGCGGGUGAAAAGCCCGCUCGCCGGAAGACCAAGGGUUCCUGUCCAACGUUAAUCGGGGCAGGGUGAGUCGACCCCUAAGGCGAGGCCGAAAGGCGUAGUCGAUGGGAAACAGGUUAAUAUUCCUGUACUUGGUGUUACUGCGAAGGGGGGACGGAGAAGGCUAUGUUGGCCGGGCGACGGUUGUCCCGGUUUAAGCGUGUAGGCUGGUUUUCCAGGCAAAUCCGGAAAAUCAAGGCUGAGGCGUGAUGACGAGGCACUACGGUGCUGAAGCAACAAAUGCCCUGCUUCCAGGAAAAGCCUCUAAGCAUCAGGUAACAUCAAAUCGUACCCCAAACCGACACAGGUGGUCAGGUAGAGAAUACCAAGGCGCUUGAGAGAACUCGGGUGAAGGAACUAGGCAAAAUGGUGCCGUAACUUCGGGAGAAGGCACGCUGAUAUGUAGGUGAAGUCCCUCGCGGAUGGAGCUGAAAUCAGUCGAAGAUACCAGCUGGCUGCAACUGUUUAUUAAAAACACAGCACUGUGCAAACACGAAAGUGGACGUAUACGGUGUGACGCCUGCCCGGUGCCGGAAGGUUAAUUGAUGGGGUCAGCGCAAGCGAAGCUCUUGAUCGAAGCCCCGGUAAACGGCGGCCGUAACUAUAACGGUCCUAAGGUAGCGAAAUUCCUUGUCGGGUAAGUUCCGACCUGCACGAAUGGCGUAAUGAUGGCCAGGCUGUCUCCACCCGAGACUCAGUGAAAUUGAACUCGCUGUGAAGAUGCAGUGUACCCGCGGCAAGACGGAAAGACCCCGUGAACCUUUACUAUAGCUUGACACUGAACAUUGAGCCUUGAUGUGUAGGAUAGGUGGGAGGCUUAGAAGUGUGGACGCCAGUCUGCAUGGAGCCGACCUUGAAAUACCACCCUUUAAUGUUUGAUGUUCUAACGUUGACCCGUAAUCCGGGUUGCGGACAGUGUCUGGUGGGUAGUUUGACUGGGGCGGUCUCCUCCUAAAGAGUAACGGAGGAGCACGAAGGUUGGCUAAUCCUGGUCGGACAUCAGGAGGUUAGUGCAAUGGCAUAAGCCAGCUUGACUGCGAGCGUGACGGCGCGAGCAGGUGCGAAAGCAGGUCAUAGUGAUCCGGUGGUUCUGAAUGGAAGGGCCAUCGCUCAACGGAUAAAAGGUACUCCGGGGAUAACAGGCUGAUACCGCCCAAGAGUUCAUAUCGACGGCGGUGUUUGGCACCUCGAUGUCGGCUCAUCACAUCCUGGGGCUGAAGUAGGUCCCAAGGGUAUGGCUGUUCGCCAUUUAAAGUGGUACGCGAGCUGGGUUUAGAACGUCGUGAGACAGUUCGGUCCCUAUCUGCCGUGGGCGCUGGAGAACUGAGGGGGGCUGCUCCUAGUACGAGAGGACCGGAGUGGACGCAUCACUGGUGUUCGGGUUGUCAUGCCAAUGGCACUGCCCGGUAGCUAAAUGCGGAAGAGAUAAGUGCUGAAAGCAUCUAAGCACGAAACUUGCCCCGAGAUGAGUUCUCCCUGACUCCUUGAG
rnacentral:rRNA from 1 species